rnacentral:sRNA from 1 species
CAUCUUCAGUAGAACUGUGUGACAACAGUUCUUGUGUACCGGCUGCAGGUAGUUCUUUCGAUUCAGAUUCAGUAGACUCAGGACCACGUUCCGACGCAACUGGUGGCUGGUGGUUGCCGGGGAUUUCAUCUUGGCGCAACUGUUCAGGUACCUCUCGGGCUUGUUUUUCAGGGGGAUUGUUUGGUGAAGGAGGCUCCGCAGAGGGGUCAGGUGGCGCUGCAGAGUCUGCUUGGAGUAAUCGAUCAAUGAAAUUCUGUUUAACCCUGAGACCCGUUUGGGGAAUGCCGCGACGCUUCAGUUCGGCCUUUAAAUCAGUAACCUUCCAGUUUUUGUAGUCCGCCAUGGCGAAGAGUUGUGAAAAAGGAGCGAUGUCGAAAUUGGAGA